UGCUCUUAUGUGUGUCCUCACAAUUUCAACCCCAAUCAUGCCCAGUUCUCAUUCCUGUAUUUCCAUUUGAUUUAUAUCUCCAACUUGCUUUGUAACCUUUCUAAUUAUUUCACCAGGGAGGCACCCAAAGUGGUGUUUCUGGGAACCUAACACCUCUUGCCCUAACACUGAAUCAGUUUGAUUCAGGUACAUGGAACUCAGGGUUAGAAUG
rnacentral:lncRNA from 1 species